rnacentral:lncRNA from 1 species
GUCAGUCGCUGAUGUCACAGAAGACUGUGACUUCCAUCUUCUGGUUCUCUCUUGCAUUCUAUGAUGUUUCCAGACACUCUGUGCAAAGAACAGAGGCAAGCCUCCAGCCAGGAGCUCAUGAAAUCAUGAACUGAGGCCUCAGUGCAAUAGCUCAUGAGGAAAUGAAUUAUUUCAACAGCCAGGGUUGCUCUGAAGACUAAAGCCCUGGGAUCAUUCAUUUUAAAAGAAAAGAACGGUGACUCAUCAUUUCAAGCUUUUCAUUCUGGAAGUUGGAAGUACAAGAUCAGAUUGCCAGCAUCAUCAGGUACUCAUGAGGGCCGUCUUCCAGCUUGCAGACUGCCAACUUCUCAUUGUGUCCUCAGAGUAAAAAGUGAUGACGCUGCAAAUGACAACCUUAACUAGUCUCUCCAUUGAAAAGCCUCAUAAAUGUCUAAUAGCCACAAUUUUACUUGGCUACUUCAGAUGGACUGAAAUUGGAACUUGAAGACCCUUGUAUAAGAAAAAGAACCGUUGUAAACCAUUGCAAAUCUCAGCCAAGACAAAAUGGCCUUUAAACAUUUACAAUAAAUGCACUGAAUAUCUGUGGAAUCACAUAACUCAAAAAUAAGAACAGACAUAUUUUUCUAUAACUUUGAUAUCAUUUUGUAAUAUAUUUUCUGAUGAAUAAAACCUACUUGUUUAGGGAAGCAAGUGA